rnacentral:sRNA from 2 species
CACGAAGGAAAGCAGACUAAGAACGCCACGUCAUGUGGCAACGUCUGCAUGGCCCCCAUCCUGGGGG